AUGGAUAACUCGACCUUGUGGUGUAGGUAUAAAUCUGCCUCAACGAUUCAGGAGAGUUUGGGAUGGGGAAUUGGAGAUACAGAGGGAGGAGGAAGUAGCAGGGGUGAUGCUCCGAGGAUGAGAGAGAGAGAGAGAGAGAGAGAGAGAGAGAGAGAGAGAGAGAGUUCAGAGACUAAUCAACGCCUGCUCACACACACACACACACACACACACUUACUGGUGGUCCCGGGGCCACCAGCCAUCUCACCGAGCUCUCUCAUACUGAAUCGCAGCUCACCUGAUAGCUGGAUCCUGCACAAUCGUCUGGGUUGCAAGACCAGGCGACUCGAUGUCCGCCGACGUAGCCCGAGGCGUGACACACGACCAGAGAGGAAGUACUAG
rnacentral:rRNA from 1 species